rnacentral:rRNA from 1 species
CCUGAUGACCAUAGCGAGCUGGUCCCACUCCUUCCCAUCCCGAACAGGACAGUGAAACAGCUCAGCGCCGAUGAUAGUGCGGAUUGCCCGUGUGAAAGUAGGACAUCGUCAGGC